UGGGGGUUGGGGGAAGGGGGGCCGGGAGGGAUGCGAGAACGAUGAGAGACGCUGUCUCGGGAGCCAGUUCAAAAUGAUGCUCCUCUGCGCGACAGUCGUUGUUCUGCUCGACGCAGCCGCGAGCGUGUUCGCGAGUAGUGUGAGUGCUGCAAGUGCAUAUGCCCCCACGGAGUCAACCCCGGGGGCCGCCAGCCCCUACGCCAUCGACGACCCGAGGUUUUGCCUCCCUACGACCCUGAUGCGGACUUACCCACGCCGAGAAUCAUCUUGCGGCAUGGGUAUCCAGCAGAAAAACACAUCGUGAAAACAGAAGAUGGAUACCUCCUGGAGGUGCAUCGCAUCCCUCAUGGGAAGACCCGCUUCAGGGAUCCUGAAAAACCGCCCAUCCUCCUGCAACACGGUCUCUUGGGAGCUCCUCUGAUUUCAUUAUCAACGGACCUGAAAAGUCGUAUGGUGAGCUGAGCUUUGAAUAGAAGGGCUUGGAAGACAAGGCGCAUGAAUGCAGUUUUUGAAAAAAUUGAGAUAUUCAUGAACUCAACUAAAACUAGUUUGAGAGUAUAUUAUGUGAAAAAUUUACAACUAAAUCCGACUUUGAAGCAUCGAAAAGUGAGUUUAAACUUCCUUUCUACCAUGAGGCUCCAUGUAAUUUUGAAACUUUAAAUAAGUAUUUUUUGAAAUAGAAAAAACUGCACUUAUGUGCCCACUCCAAGCUCCUCAAUCGUCUUCCACCUCUCGUUGGAAAAGAAAAGUCAAAACACUGACCUAAGUGCACACACACGUUUCUCUCACACUUAAGAUAAGCUUGUUAUUUUCACCCGAAGCGCCUCUACACUGCGCCUAUUGCGAGGUUACACACAAACCAUUAAUGAAAAUGAUACCAUAUUGUAAUUAUUUUUAAAAAAAAAACAAAGUCUCGUGAUUUUAAUUUUAAAAUGAUCUCGCUGAAAUAAGAACCUCGGAUUUGUAAAAGAAAUGUUUGGACGCAAAAUGAACCUGUUAAAAACUAAAAGAAAUAAAAAUCUCUAGCAAUUCUUGAGUACCUACUUGACACGUACUCUUACUUUUUUUAUUUUUUGAAGUACUCGUUUCUCAAUACCUUUCGAAUUUGCCGCUUUUCAUGAGUUCGCAAUACAAGCGAGAUGAUGUUAAAAUCAAACCCACUAAUAUUAAAUUUAAUAACAAAUAUUUGUCCUCGUCAUCUCAUCAUUCAGAGAUAUUUCUAGCUCCAAAUAGCGU
rnacentral:lncRNA from 1 species